GACAACGCUGGCGGCGUGCCUAACACAUGCAAGUCGAACGAAGCAUAGCAAUAUGCUUAGUGGCGGACGGGUGAGUAACGCGUGAACAAUCUGCCCUGUACAAAGGAAUAGCCUCGGGAAACCGGGAUUAAAACCGUAUGACACUUUAGUAUCGUAUGAUAAGAAAGUCAAAUCGAAUAGAGGGUAUGGGAUGAGUUCGCGUCUGAUUAGCUGGUUGGCGGGGUAACGGCCCACCAAGGCGACGAUCAGUAGCCGGCCUGAGAGGGUGAACGGCCACACUGGAACUGAGACACGGUCCAGACUCCUACGGGAGGCAGCAGUGGGGAAUAUUGCACAAUGGAGGGAACUCUGAUGCAGCGACGCCGCGUGAGUGAAGAAGGUCUUCGGAUCGUAAAACUCUGUCCUUGGUGAAGAAAAGGACGGUAGCCAAGGAGGAAGCCCCGGCUAACUACGUG
rnacentral:rRNA from 1 species